UGGGGUAUAUUGGACAAUGGGCGGAAGCCUGAUCCAGCCAUGCCGCGUGUGUGAAGAAGGCCUUUUGGUUGUAAAGCACUUUAAGCGAGGAGGAGGCUCUUCUAGUUAAUACCUAGGAUGAGUGGACGUUACUCGCAGAAUAAGCACCGGCUAACUCUGUGCCAGCAGCCGCGGUAAUACAGAGGGUGCGAGCGUUAAUCGGAUUUACUGGGCGUAAAGCGUGCGUAGGCGGCUGAUUAAGUCGGAUGUGACAUCCCUGGGCUUAACUUAUGAAUUGCAUUCGAUACUGGUCAGGUAGAGUAUAGGAGAGGAUGUUAGAAUUCCCGGUGUAGCGGUGAAAUGCGUAGAGAUCUGGAGGAAUACCGAUGGCGAAGGCAGCCAUCUGGCCUAAUACUGACGCUGAGGUACGAAAGAAUGGGGAGCAAACAGG
rnacentral:rRNA from 1 species